CGAACGCUGGCGGCGUGCUUAACACAUGCAAGUCGAACGGAAAGGCCCUGCUUUUGUGGGGUGCUCGAGUGGCGAACGGGUGAGUAACACGUGAGUAACCUGCCCUUGACUUUGGGAUAACUUCAGGAAACUGGGGCUAAUACCGGAUAGGAGCUCCUGCUGCAUGGUGGGGGUUGGAAAGUUUCGGCGGUUGGGGAUGGACUCGCGACUUAUCAGCUUGUUGGUGGGGUAGUGGCUUACCAAGGCUUUGACGGGUAGCCGGCCUGAGAGGGUGACCGGCCACAUUGGGACUGAGAUACGGCCCAGACUCCUACGGGAGGCAGCAGUGGGGAAUAUUGCACAAUGGGCGGAAGCCUGAUGCAGCAACGCCGCGUGCGGGAUGACGGCCUUCGGGUUGUAAACCGCUUUCGCCUGUGACGAAGCGUGAGUGACGGUAAUGGGUAAAGAAGCACCGGCUAACUACGUG
rnacentral:rRNA from 1 species